rfam:Polaribacter atrinae strain KACC 17473 LPB303_71, whole genome shotgun sequence.
AUUGCAGACUUAUCUUAUCGACUUGUGUAUGCAAGUAGGAAAGUCCGGACACCAAAGAGUAUCAUAGCGGAUAACAUCCGUCCAGCGAGAGCUGAGGACCAGUGCAACAGAAAGAAUGUACAGUUAGGCUGUAGUGAAACCAGGUAAACUCUAUGAGGUGCAAUGCCAUGUAUAUUAGAGCUUGAGAGCUACUCGCUCGAUUCUAAAGGGUAGGCAGAUAGAUUCUAAGAGUAAUUUUAGAACUAGAUAAAUGAUAAGAGCCUUUUUAAGGUACAGGAUUCGGCUUAUUAGUCUGCAUUUUCU